UCCGGUUGCUUAGUGGUGAGACCGUCCGCCUCGGAUGCAGGUUGCGGGUUCGAUCCCUGGCCUGGUCAU